rnacentral:rRNA from 1 species
AGAGUUUGAUCCUGGCUCAGGACGAACGCUGGCGGCGUGCUUAACACAUGCAAGUCGAGCGGAAAGGCCACUUCGGUGGUACUCGAGCGGCGAACGGGUGAGUAACACGUGAGUAAUCUGCCCUCUACUUCGGGAUAGCCCUGGGAAACUGGGAUUAAUACCGGAUAUGACGCGUGCCUGCAUGGGUGUGUGUGGAAAGUUUUUUCGGUGGAGGAUGUGCUCGCGGCCUAUCAGCUUGUUGGUGGGGUAAUGGCCUACCAAGGCUUCGACGGGUAGCCGGCCUGAGAGGGUGACCGGCCACACUGGGACUGAGACACGGCCCAGACUCCUACGGGAGGCAGCAGUGGGGAAUAUUGGACAAUGGGCGGAAGCCUGAUCCAGCAACGCCGCGUGAGGGAUGACGGCCUUCGGGUUGUAAACCUCUUUCAGCGCCGACGAAGCGAGAGUGACGGUAGGCGCAGAAGAAGCACCGGCCAACUACGUGCCAGCAGCCGCGGUAAUACGUAGGGUGCGAGCGUUGUCCGGAAUUAUUGGGCGUAAAGGGCUCGUAGGCGGUUUGUCGCGUCGGGAGUGAAAACCAGGUGCUUAACACCUGGCUUGCUUUCGAUACGGGCAGACUAGAGGCAUGCAGGGGAGAACGGAAUUCCUGGUGUAGCGGUGAAAUGCGCAGAUAUCAGGAGGAACACCGGUGGCGAAGGCGGUUCUCUGGGCAUGUCCUGACGCUGAGGAGCGAAAGUGUGGGGAGCGAACAGGAUUAGAUACCCUGGUAGUCCACACCGUAAACGUUGGGCGCUAGGUGUGGGAUCCAUUCCACGGGUUCCGUGCCGCAGCUAACGCAUUAAGCGCCCCGCCUGGGGAGUACGGCCGCAAGGCUAAAACUUAAAGGAAUUGACGG